rnacentral:rRNA from 1 species
UGCAAGUCGAACGAGUUCUGAUUAUUGAAAGGUGCUUGCAUCUUGAUUUAAUUUUGAACGAGUGGCGGACGGGUGAGUAACACGUGGGUAACCUGCCCUUAAGUGGGGGAUAACAUUUGGAAACAGAUGCUAAUACCGCAUAAAUCCAAGAACCGCAUGGUUCUUGGCUGAAAGAUGGCGUAAGCUAUCGCUUUUGGAUGGACCCGCGGCGUAUUAGCUAGUUGGUGAGGUAACGGCUCACCAAGGCAAUGAUACGUAGCCGAACUGAGAGGUUGAUCGGCCACAUUGGGACUGAGACACGGCCCAAACUCCUACGGGAGGCAGCAGUAGGGAAUCUUCCACAAUGGACGCAAGUCUGAUGGAGCAACGCCGCGUGAGUGAAGAAGGCUUUCGGGUCGUAAAACUCUGUUGUUGGAGAAGAAUGGUCGGCAGAGUAACUGUUGUCGGCGUGACGGUAUCCAACCAGAAAGCCACGGCUAACUACGUGCCAGCAGCCGCGGUAAUACGUAGGUGGCAAGCGUUAUCCGGAUUUAUUGGGCGUAAAGCGAGCGCAGGCGGUUUUUUAAGUCUGAUGUGAAAGCCCUCGGCUUAACCGAGGAAGUGCAUCGGAAACUGGGAAACUUGAGUGCAGAAGAGGACAGUGGAACUCCAUGUGUAGCGGUGAAAUGCGUAGAUAUAUGGAAGAACACCAGUGGCGAAGGCGGCUGUCUGGUCUGUAACUGACGCUGAGGCUCGAAAGCAUGGGUAGCGAACAGGAUUAGAUACCCUGGUAGUCCAUGCCGUAAACGAUGAAUGCUAGGUGUUGGAGGGUUUCCGCCCUUCAGUGCCGCAGCUAACGCAUUAAGCAUUCCGCCUGGGGAGUACGACCGCAAGGUUGAAACUCAAAGGAAUUGACGGGGGCCCGCACAAGCGGUGGAGCAUGUGGUUUAAUUCGAAGCAACGCGAAGAACCUUACCAGGUCUUGACAUCUUUUGAUCACCUGAGAGAUCAGGUUUCCCCUUCGGGGGCAAAAUGACAGGUGGUGCAUGGUUGUCGUCAGCUCGUGUCGUGAGAUGUUGGGUUAAGUCCCGCAACGAGCGCAACCCUUAUGACUAGUUGCCAGCAUUUAGUUGGGCACUCUAGUAAGACUGCCGGUGACAAACCGGAGGAAGGUGGGGAUGACGUCAAAUCAUCAUGCCCCUUAUGACCUGGGCUACACACGUGCUACAAUGGAUGGUACAACGAGUUGCGAGACCGCGAGGUCAAGCUAAUCUCUUAAAGCCAUUCUCAGUUCGGACUGUAGGCUGCAACUCGCCUACACGAAGUCGGAAUCGCUAGUAAUCGCGGAUCAGCACGCCGCGGUGAAUACGUUCCCGGGCCUUGUACACACCGCCCGUCACACCAUGAGAGUUUGUAACACCCGAAGCCGGUGGCGUAACCCUUUUAGGGAGCGAGCCGUCUAA